AUUGAACGCUGGCGGAAUGCUUUACACAUGCAAGUCGAACGGUAGAGGGGGCAACCCCUCGAGAGUGGCGAACGGGUGAGUAAUAUAUCGGAACGUGCCCAGUCGUGGGGGAUAACGUAGCGAAAGUUACGCUAAUACCGCAUACGAUCUAAGGAUGAAAGCGGGGGAUCGCAAGACCUCGCGCGAUUGGAGCGGCCGAUAUCAGAUUAGGUAGUUGGUGGGGUAAAGGCUCACCAAGCCAACGAUCUGUAGCUGGUCUGAGAGGACGACCAGCCACACUGGAACUGGGACACGGGCCAGACUCCUACGGGAGGCAGCAGUGGGGAAUUUUGGACAAUGGACGCAAGUCUGAUCCAGCCAUUCCGCGUGCAGGAUGAAGGCCUCGGGUUGUAAACUGCUUUUGUACGGAACGAGAAGGUCUCUCUUAAUACGGGGGACUCAUGACGGUACCGUAAGAAUAAGCACCGGCUAACUACGAGCCAGCCGCCGCUGUAA
rnacentral:rRNA from 1 species